rnacentral:SRP_RNA from 1 species
ACUGGACGUGGUGGCGCAUGCCUGUAGUCCCAGCUACUCAGGAGGCUGAGGUGGGAGGAUCGCUUGAGUCCAGGAGUUCUGGCCUGCAGCGCGCUAUGCCGAUCCAGUGUCCGCAACUAAGUUCAGCAUCAAUAUGGUGACCUCGCGGGAGCGGGGGAUCACCAGGUUGCCUAAGGAGGGGUGAACUGGCCUAGGUCGGAAACAGAGCAGGUCAAAAAGACAGAAACAAAAACCAAGCAGGAUCUCCCUAAAUUGCCCAGGCUGUCCUCAAGGUACAACCCUUGUAUCU